rnacentral:misc_RNA from 1 species
UUAAGUUCAGCGGGUAGUCCUACCUGAUUUGAGGUCAGAGGUCAAUGUGUUGUCUCAUAAGAGACGAUUAGAAGCUCGCCAAACGCUUCACGGUCGCGGCGUAGACAAUUAUCACACCGAGAGCCGAUCCGCAAGGAAUCAAGCUAAUGCAUUUGAGAGGAGCCGACCGCUAGGCCGACAAGCCUCCAAGUCCAAGCCUA